rnacentral:lncRNA from 1 species
AUGUGGCAUAUGCAUGAUGAUGAGGUACAGAUGAUGAUGUGGCAUAUGAUAUAGAAUUUCUUUCCAAAGUGUCCAAUUAUCGAGUGACAUGUCAGUACUCAUAGGUGACAUGGCAUAAAUGGUAUGCCAUGUAUGAUGAUGUGAUAUGAGUGAUGACACGAUAUGUGAUGUAUAAUUCUUUUUCGAAAAUAACCAAUCACCAAGUGACACGC